AGCGAACGCUGGCGGCAGGCUUAACACAUGCAAGUCGAGCGGGCGUAGCAAUACGUCAGCGGCAGACGGGUGAGUAACGCGUGGGAACAUACCUUUGGUCCGGAACAACACAGGGAACGUUGUGCUAAUACCGGAUAAGCCCUUACCGGGGAAAGGAUUUAUCGCCGAAAGAAUUGGCCCGCCGUCUGAUUAGCUAGUUGGUGAGGUAACGGCUCACCAAGGCGACGAUCAGUAGCGGUC
rnacentral:rRNA from 1 species